CCUAAAAUCACUCCACUCCUAUUUUGAAUUUUGGAAAAUUUCUCGAUAUUCCUGUUCUCUUACUUUCAUUAAUCCAGUUUUUUUUUAAAUUUUUUUUUUCCUUCAUCAACAUAAUUAUAUAUGUAUUAUUUUUCUUAGUUUUUUCAUACCUUUUUUAAGAAAAAAUUCUUUCUUUCUUACCAGUUUAAAGUUCUUCAAAAUGAGAAUAAAGGAUUCGUCUCCAUAUAUGAGGAUUACCAAAGGGUAUAUGACAACAUAAACAAGUUCAAGUUGAACAAUAUCUUGAAUAGAGAUUCAA